UUAGAAAAUUUCAGCAGAUAUUUGAACAUACUUGAAAGAUGCUGAUGGCUUUGAAGUUUGACACUGGGAAUACAUGUUCAGCACAGUCUCUUUGAUAGUUAUAAACCUACUUCCAAUUAACCAACAAAAUAAUCAAUAUCGUUGAAGGAACACUUCAAAUACUAGUGGACUUUAGCUCACACCCCCUUGGCUGUCAAUCAGACGGCCGGUCCUGUUACUUCCUGGUUUGUUUAGCUCAGUGAAGAUAAACUCAAGAG